AUUGAACGCUGGCGGCAGGCUUAACACAUGCAAGUCGAGCGGAGAGAGGUAGCUUGCUACUGAUCUUAGCGGCGGACGGGUGAGUAAUGCUUAGGGAUCUGCCUAUUAGUGGGGGACAACAUUUCGAAAGGAAUGCUAAUACCGCAUACGUCCUACGGGAGAAAGCAGGGGAUCUUUGGACCUUGCGCUAAUAGAUGAGCCUAAGUCGGAUUAGCUUGUUGGUGAGGUAAUGGCUCACCAAGGCGACGAUCCGUAACUGGUCUGAGAGGAUGAUCAGUCACACUGGAACUGAGACACGGUCCAGACUCCUACGGGAGGCAGCAGUGGGGAAUAUUGGACAAUGGGCGAAAGCCUGAUCCAGCCAUGCCGCGUGUGUGAAGAAGGUCUUCGGAUUGUAAAGCACUUUAAGUUGGGAGGAAGGGUUGUAGAUUAAUACUCUGCAAUUUUGACGUUACCGACAGAAUAAGCACCGGCUAACUCUGUGCCAGCAGCCGCAGUAACAC
rnacentral:rRNA from 1 species